rnacentral:ribozyme from 1 species
UAAAAAAAAUGAUGGCUAAAUCAUCCAAUAGUCUUUCUUUCUGUCGAUCUCGGUUCUUGUCACUCUUUUCGUCAGUCUGUCUACCACGAGA